AGAGUUUGAUCAUGGCUCAGGAUGAACGCUAGCUACAGGCUUAACACAUGCAGGUCGAGGGGAAACGACAGUCGAAAGCUUGCUUUUGAUGGUCGUCGACCGGCGCACGGGUGAGUAACGCGUAUCCAACCUGCCCAUCACUUGGGGAUAACCUUGCGAAAGGUAAGACUAAUACCCAAUAGAUAUCUCUAGAAGACAUCUGAAAGAGAUUAAAGAUUUAUCGGUGAUGGAUGGGGAUGGCGUCUGAUUAGCUUGUUGGCGGGGGUAACGGCCCACCAAGGCAACGAUCAGUAGGGGUUCUGAGAGGAAGGUCCCCCACAUUGGAACUGAGACACGGUCCAAACUCCUACGGGAGGCAGCA
rnacentral:rRNA from 1 species